CCUACGUGCGACAGCAGUGAGGAAUAUUUGUCAAUGGGCGCGAGCCUGAACCAGCCAAGUAGCGUGAAGGAUGACUGCCCUACGGGUUGUAAACUUCUUUUAUAAAGGAAUAAAGUGAGGCACGUGUGCCUUUUUGUAUGUACUUUAUGAAUAAGGAUCGGCUAACUCCGUGCCAGCAGCCGCGGUAAUACGGAGGAUCCGAGCGUUAUCCGGAUUUAUUGGGUUUAAAGGGAGCGUAGAUGGGUUGUUAAGUCAGUUGUGAAAGUUUGCGGCUCAACCGUAAAAUUGCAAUUGAUACUGGCAGUCUUGAGUACAGUUGAGGUAGGCGGAAUUCGUGGUGUAGCGGUGAAAUGCUUAGAUAUCACGAAGAACUCCGAUUGCGAAGGCAGCUUACUAAACUGCCACUGACAUUGAUGCUCGAAAGUGUGGGUAUCAAACAGGAUUAGAUACCCCAGUAGUC
rnacentral:rRNA from 1 species